rnacentral:rRNA from 1 species
GACGAACGCUGGCGGCGUGCCUAAUACAUGCAAGUUGAGCGCUGAAGGUUGGUACUUGUACCAACUGGAUGAGCAGCGAACGGGUGAGUAACGCGUGGGGAAUCUGCCUUUGAGCGGGGGACAACAUUUGGAAACGAAUGCUAAUACCGCAUAAAAACUUUAAACACAAGUUUUAAGUUUGAAAGAUGCAAUUGCAUCACUCAAAGAUGAUCCCGCGUUGUAUUAGCUAGUUGGUGAGGUAAAGGCUCACCAAGGCGAUGAUACAUAGCCGAACUGAGAGGGUGGACGGCCAACAUGGGAAUGGGAAAAGGCCCAAAAUCCUUCGGGAGGGAGCAGUAGGGAAACUUCGGCAAUGGACGAAAGGCUGAACGGGGAACGCCGGGUGAGUGAAGAAGGUUUUCGGGUCGUAAAAACCCGUUGGUAGGGAAGAACGUUAGUGGGAGUGGAAAGCGCAUCAAGUGACGGUAACUAAUCAGAAAGAGACGGCUAACUACGUG